UUGAACGCUGGCGGCAGGCCUAACACAUGCAAGUCGAGCGGAUGAAGGGAGCUUGCUCCUGGAUUCAGCGGCGGACGGGUGAGUAAUGCCUAGGAAUCUGCCUGGUAGUGGGGGAUAACGUCCGGAAACGGGCGCUAAUACCGCAUACGUCCUGAGGGAGAAAGUGGGGGAUCUUCGGACCUCACGCUAUCAGAUGAGCCUAGGUCGGAUUAGCUAGUUGGUGGGGUAAAGGCCUACCAAGGCGACGAUCCGUAACUGGUCUGAGAGGAUGAUCAGUCACACUGGAACUGAGACACGGUCCAGACUCCUACGGGAGGUAGCAGUGGGGAAUAUUGGACAAUGGGCGAAAGCCUGAUCCAGCCAUGCCGCGUGUGUGAAGAAGGUCUUCGGAUUGUAAAGCACUUUAAGUUGGGAGGAAGGGCAGUAAGUUAAUACCUUGCUGUUUUGACGUUACCAACAGAAUAAGCACCGGCUAACUUCGUG
rnacentral:rRNA from 1 species